GAGCCUCAAAUAUCUGCAAAAUCUGAUACCAAUCCUUUUGAUUGUGAAUUAUAUUCUGUAGCUACCAAAGAAGGAAGAAGAAAACUAGGAAGAAGUAAGCACAAAGAUCUCUUCACAUUCUCCGGGACUGCAGUACCAAAUAUCAGCACAGCGCUUCUUGAAAAAGGAUGUAGAUUUUAAUCUGAACUUUGAACCAUCACUGAGGUGGCCCGCCGGCUU
rnacentral:sRNA from 1 species